GCAGAGGUGGCAGAACACGGUCAUGCGCACGCCUGCAGAGCGUGUCUAUGUGAGUUCAAAUCUCACCCUCUGCU
rnacentral:tRNA from 2 species